rnacentral:snRNA from 1 species
AGAUGUAAGGGCCAUCUAGCUGUUAAUAUUUGUCACCCACUGAUCACCUGGGUUGACUCAUCUGGCUGGCCACAUGGGUGUCCCUUUCCUCCUUCACUACUCUACCUGCAUCCCACCUGAACUGCAGGCUUGGGUGGAGGACAACAUUCCUGAUUAUCUGUAAUCAGGAAUAAAG